GACGAACGCUGGCGGCGUGCUUAACACAUGCAAGUCGAACGGUGAAGCUCCAGCUUGCUGGAGUGGAUCAGUGGCGAACGGGUGAGUAACACGUGAGCAACCUGCCCCUGACUCUGGAAUAAGCGCUGGAAACGGCGUCUAAUACUGGAUACGAGAAGGGUCCGCAUGGGCACUUUCUGGAAAGUUUUUCGGUUGGGGAUGGGCUCGCGGCCUAUCAGCUUGUUGGUGAGGUAAUGGCUCACCAAGGCGACGACGGGUAGCCGGCCUGAGAGGGCGACCGGCCACACUGGGACUGAGACACGGCCCAGACUCCUACGGGAGGCAGCAGUGGGGAAUAUUGCACAAUGGGCGAAAGCCUGAUGCAGCGACGCCGCGUGAGGGAUGACGGCCUUCGGGUUGUAAACCUCUUUCAGCAGGGAAGAAGCGAAAGUGACGGUACCUGCAGAAGAAGCACCGGCUAACUUCGUG
rnacentral:rRNA from 1 species